AGGCAUUGGGUCCCAAUUUUAAAGUCUUCGGUAUGACUGGGCCUAGGUUUGAACCCACGACCUUCCAGUUACAGGGCGGGCACUAACCACAAGGCCACUGAGCUGGUUAACAAAGCUAUAUCACAGACAAGUCUAAGUGUUAAUUACUGCUUCUGAUUCCAACCAGUUUUAUUUAUUUAAAGAGCAGGGAAACGUAGGACCCGCGCGUUUACCAACAAUCCCAACCAACCAAGUGAGCAGCACCAAUGUGCAUGCAUCACGUGUUGAUUAUUUUUCUGUAUGUGGAGUCUAGUACUGGAGUCUCGGCUGAAUCUCCUCAUGACCACGGCUGAAAAAUGACUCGUCAGCCUGGACUGGUCAACCAAAACUGAUAUUUGACCUCGUGUUAGUCUUGGAUUAGUCCUUUACACCGAGCACUUUUGAAUAUCUUGGUCCAAAUAGAAGCAUCUUCAUAUGUUUGCUUUAUUUCUUUCAGGUUCACGGAGUAAAGGUUUAGCAGCUGCUGCUGGUACCUGAUGGUUCUGUCGUAAACCAGCAUCAUCGAUACACAAAGAACAGUAACCGAUUUGGGCUUUAGUGAUGGAUAUUUCUGUUCAUGUGAAUCCAGACCCGCCUGAGAGGUCCAGCUGUCCUGCUGCUACACAUGCAGUUUCUUCUGCUCCAGUGAAGACUCCUCUGCCAGUACCACCAGAGUUGCUCGCUUUGGAACGGUCUCAAAAUAGAAUGGUGUCAUCUUUAAGAAGAGUGUUGGAUAAAACCUACAGUAAGUGCAAUAAGUCUUGACGAAAAUGCAAAGUUCUGUAUUCAUUUGGACUUUGUGAUAAUGCUGUUUAUUGAACAACAACUCCUGAUGUUAUUUUUGCAGCAGUUGUUGGAAGAACUUCAGCUCAGACUGCAACUUCUCCUGCUCACUUUCAGCCACGGCCUGCUGCUCCACCACUUCCAUGCUAUGACCAAGAUGUUAGCAGCUGGAACUGUUCUCCACAGCAGAGGAUCUGGAUGAAAACAGAGAUGGAAGCCUUGGGACUGUGGCCUGGGUCUCCACCUGUGACCAUGAAUAUGAUCUCCUUCCAGACCACACAAUAGCGGAAAGAGUGCGGAACAACUAUUCUCUCCCGUGUCUGCAUAGCUGCUGAAAACCCCUGGUGGUCUCCUCUGUAAACAGGUCGGCCCGCAUCAUCAUUGGUACAAGUCGUUAGUACCACAUACUUCCUUCUCAGCUAACUAGUAAAGUCUGAGAGAAGCACUGGUUUUCAGACAAACCUUCAUGGAUGGACAUGCUGCCUCAUCGUUUUUCAGAACAUUUUUUCAGCCUUCCUGACCCACAUGAAGGCCGUGUGCAAUACUGUGAUGGAUGAGCUGCAGCGGACAGCAAAGUCUCCAGGUGAUACAGCUAAUCAUCUGAAUGAAGCUCUUCACCUUAAAUAAGAGCGUGACACAUGGCUCAUCUGUGUGCACAGUGAAGAAUGUCCUGGAUGGAGAGAGUGGAUUACAUGGCCAGCAGACAAUCACAGGGGCAGUAAGGAAAACAUCUACACCAGAUCCUGUUGGUGGGUAUCCAGACGUAGAUGGUUUGUGUGGGGUAGCAGUGACUUCACACUACCUGGUGGACUGUCUCAUUCAAGAUUACCAAUAAGGUCAAUCUGCUCCUCCAAGGCACAUUUGGUGAGGUCUUGAGGGCUGACCACACCCGAAAGAUGGCGCAGAAGGUGGUACUGGCAUCAGGCACGAUGUCAUCCUAUGCAGUGAUGAACGAAAACUGGAGGAUUUUGUCCUGGGUGAUGCUGCAGUCGGAAGGCGACAAAAUCCCUGGAGCCAAUGAACGAGGGGCGUUUCUACAGCCCUGCCAAAAGCCAAGUACCAGUGGGUUGACAGGUGAGACUCAACUUAGUUUGUUUUCCUUCCAAGUUGCUGGUUUCAAAAGUAAAAAUGUGGAAAAUAAGUGAAUAUUAUUUUAAAAACAUUCCCUAUUUGCACAAUAAACAAUUUCCACAUGCUUUU